AUGCCGAGGCCCUCCCUUGCUGCCCUGUCUGCUGAGUCCAGGCUGGCGGGUGAGGGAAGUAGCCCUUGCUUUGCAGACAUGGAACAAGGCCUGGGCGGUCCCAUACCGGUGAAGUGCCUGGCACACAGUAGGCGCUCAAUAGAUGCUAGCUUUUCUCCCUCAAUAGGAGCUGGUGUGACGCCCGGUACACAACAGAGGCUCGGGAAAGCCUGGCCCAAUUGGGAGAGCCGAGCUUUCUUCCCCAGCACAGAGAACAAACCGCGUUAUGUUCCUCUUCAGAAAGGAGCCAAACCCAAUAUUAAUUUUUUCUUGAACCUCAGUGUUGCAAAGAGAAAGGAGAGCGAGUUGCACGCUUGUCUCUGCCAUUUCUGCAGGGAGAACCAGGAGCGGAACAAAGCCCAAGUGAGCACCAUGUCCUGGGAGGGAGCCCCCGACCCCGUGCCCAGGCCUCUGGUUCUCCCGCCUCCCUCUCCUGCGAGCCAGAUCUGCUGCAUGCCCAGCCUGGCCGGAGACAAUGGCGGCCCUGAGACUGUGGCCCUGGCCUGUCAGCCCUGCCAAGGUCCACACCCCACACAGCCGCCUGCCCCCCGAUGCAGUGGCACAGAGGGAGAUGGUCCAGGGCGCCGUCCGCACGUCCCCGCCCCUGGCCUGUCCUCUAGCCCGGGGCUGGCCUCUGACAGCCCAGUCUCCAGGGAGGCCCGUGGGCCACAGCCCCAGAGCAGAUCCUGGGAGCUGCCCUUCCCCCCUCUGCCCCCAGUCACAGCCGCAUCAUCUCUGCCUUGCCCCCUUGCCGUGUGCAGCCUCCCUGUCAGCUCAGCCCUGCUGCUUGAACCCUCCUCCCCCAGCCCUUGUGGAAUAAAAUCUGAACUCGCCGUGGCUCCCGAGGCCCUGCAUUACCAGGUCCCUGCCCACAACCUCCAGCUGGCUCCAUUCCCCCUCGUGCUGGCCUGCUGCCACCCUGGCCUCUCAGAUGCACGGACCCAAUCCUGCCCAGGGCCUUUGCCCCUCCUCUCCAUGCUCCCAGAGAUGCUGUAUCCCAGAUACAGCCCCAAAUUCCAGCUGAAUUUUUUUUCUUUCCAACCAAGAAAGCAAGCCCAUGGGCCAGUUCUGACCCAUUUUGCUGCUUCUGAUCUAGGGCUCCGGUCUCCACAUGUUUUCUUUCUCUUGCAAAGCACGGACUCCCUCAGGGACUGA
rnacentral:lncRNA from 1 species